rnacentral:lncRNA from 1 species
GACCAGAGUUGGGCUGCUGGGGGUACUGGAGGACCAGAGUUGGGGCUGGGGUUACUGGAGGACCAGAGUUGGGCUGCUGGAAGACUGGAGUUGGGGUUACUGGAAGACUGGAUUGGGGUUACUGGAAGACUGGAGUUGGGGUUACUGGAAGACUGGAGUUGGGCUGCUGGGGGUACUGGAAGACUGGAGUUGGGCUUUGGGGCUGCUGGAAGACUGGAGUUGGGCUGCUGGGGGUACUGGAAGACUGGAGUUGGGCUGCUGGGGGACUGGAGUUGGGCUGCUGGGGGUACUGGAAGACUGGAGUUGGGCUGCUGGGGGUACUGGAAGACUGGAGUUGGGCUGCUGGGGGUACUUGGAAGACUGGAGUUGGGCUGCUGGGGGUACUGGAAGACUGGAGUUGGGCUGCUGGGGGUACUGGAAGACUGGAGUUGGGCUGCUGGGGGUACUGGAAGACUGGAAUACCGGAGGCUGGGGCAAGGC